rnacentral:rRNA from 1 species
GCAUAACGCGAAGAACCUUACCUGGCCUUGACAUGUCCGGAAUUCUGCAGAGAUGCGGAAGUGCCUUCGGGAAUCGGAACGCAGGUGCUGCAUGGCUGUCGUCAGCUCGUGUCGUGAGAUGUUGGGUUAAGUCCCGCAACGAGCGCAACCCUUGUCCUUAGUUGCCAGCGAGUAAUGUCGGGAACUCUAAGGAGACUGCCGGUGACAAACCGGAGGAAGGUGGGGAUGACGUCAAGUCCUCAUGGCCCUUACGGCCAGGGCUACACACGUACUACAAUGGUGACUACAAAGGGAAGCAACCCCGCGAGGGCAAGCAAAUCCCAGAAAGGUCAUCCCAGUUCGGAUUGUAGUCUGCAACUCGACUACAUGAAGCUGGAAUCGCUAGUAAUCGCGAAUCAGAAUGUCGCGGUGAAUACGUUCCCGGGUC